AGUGAACGCUGGCGGUAGGCCUAACACAUGCAAGUCGAACGGCAGCACAGUAAGAGCUUGCUCUUACGGGUGGCGAGUGGCGGACGGGUGAGGAAUACAUCGGAAUCUACUUUUUCGUGGGGGAUAACGUAGGGAAACUUACGCUAAUACCGCAUACGACCUACGGGUGAAAGCAGGGGAUCUUCGGACCUUGCGCGAUUGAAUGAGCCGAUGUCGGAUUAGCUAGUUGGCGGGGUAAAGGCCCACCAAGGCGACGAUCCGUAGCUGGUCUGAGAGGAUGAUCAGCCACACUGGAACUGAGACACGGUCCAGACUCCUACGGGAGGCAGCAGUGGGGAAUAUUGGACAAUGGGCGCAAGCCUGAUCCAGCAAUACCGCGUGAGUGAAGAAGGCCUUCGGGUUGUAAAGCCCUUUUGUUGGGAAAGAAGAGCAGCAGGUUAAUACCCCGCUGUUCUGACGGUACCCAAAGAAUAAGCACCGGCUAACUUCGUG
rnacentral:rRNA from 1 species